GGGGCUGCCUAUACAUGCAAGUCGAACGAACUCUGGUAUUGAUUGGUGCUUGCAUCAUGAUUUACAUUUGAGUGAGUGGCGAACUGGUGAGUAACACGUGGGAAACCUGCCCAGAAGCGGGGGAUAACACCUGGAAACAGAUGCUAAUACCGCAUAACAACUUGGACCGCAUGGUCCGAGUUUGAAAGAUGGCUUCGGCUAUCACUUUUGGAUGGUCCCGCGGCGUAUUAGCUAGAUGGUGAGGUAACGGCUCACCAUGGCAAUGAUACGUAGCCGACCUGAGAGGGUAAUCGGCCACAUUGGGACUGAGACACGGCCCAAACUCCUACGGGAGGCAGCAGUAGGGAAUCUUCCACAAUGGACGAAAGUCUGAUGGAGCAACGCCGCGUGAGUGAAGAAGGGUUUCGGCUCGUAAAACUCUGUUGUUAAAGAAGAACAUAUCUGAGAGUAACUGUUCAGGUAUUGACGGUAUUUAACCAGAAAGCCACGGCUAACUACGUGCCAGCAGCCGCGGUAAUACGUAGGUGGCAAGCGUUGUCCGGAUUUAUUGGGCGUAAAGCGAGCGCAGGCGGUUUUUUAAGUCUGAUGUGAAAGCCUUCGGCUCAACCGAAGAAGUGCAUCGGAAACUGGGAAACUUGAGUGCAGAAGAGGACAGUGGAACUCCAUGUGUAGCGGUGAAAUGCGUAGAUAUAUGGAAGAACACCAGUGGCGAAGGCGGCUGUCUGGUCUGUAACUGACGCUGAGGCUCGAAAGUAUGGGUAGCAAACAGGAUUAGAUACCCUGGUAGUCCAUACCGUAAACGAUGAAUGCUAAGUGUUGGAGGGUUUCCGCCCUUCAGUGCUGCAGCUAACGCAUUAAGCAUUCCGCCUGGGGAGUACGGCCGCAAGGCUGAAACUCAAAGGAAUUGACGGGGGCCCGCACAAGCGGUGGAGCAUGUGGUUUAAUUCGAAGCUACGCGAAGAACCUUACCAGGUCUUGACAUACUAUGCAAAUCUAAGAGAUUAGACGUUCCCUUCGGGGACAUGGAUACAGGUGGUGCAUGGUUGUCGUCAGCUCGUGUCGUGAGAUGUUGGGUUAAGUCCCGCAACGAGCGCAACCCUUAUUAUCAGUUGCCAGCAUUAAGUUGGGCACUCUGGUGAGACUGCCGGUGACAAACCGGAGGAAGGUGGGGAUGACGUCAAAUCAUCAUGCCCCUUAUGACCUGGGCUACACACGUGCUACAAUGGAUGGUACAACGAGUUGCGAACUCGCGAGAGUAAGCUAAUCUCUUAAAGCCAUUCUCAGUUCGGAUUGUAGGCUGCAACUCGCCUACAUGAAGUCGGAAUCGCUAGUAAUCGCGGAUUCAGCAGCCGU
rnacentral:rRNA from 1 species